rnacentral:rRNA from 1 species
UACGGAGGGGGCUAGCGUUGUUCGGACUUACUGGGCGUAAAGCGCACGUAGGCGGCUUUGUAAGUUAGAGGUGAAAGCCCGGGGCUCAACCCCGGAAUUGCCUUUAAGACUGCAUCGCUUGAACGUCGGAGAGGUGAGUGGAAUUCCGAGUGUAGAGGUGAAAUUCGUAGAUAUUCGGAAGAACACCAGUGGCGAAGGCGGCUCACUGGACGACUGUUGACGCUGAGGUGCGAAAGCGUGGGGAGCAAACAGG